GGAUGUGAGGGCGAUCUGGCUGCGACAUCUGUUACCCCACUGAUCGCCAGGGUUGAUUCGGCUGAUCUGUCUGGCUAGGCGGGUGUCCAGUUCCUCACCGCUCCAUCUGCGUCCCUCCGGAAGCUGCGCGCUAGGUGGAAGAGGACGACCACCCCUGAUAGAGGAGGUCCGUUUCCUCCGUCAAGGGUAUACGAGAAGCUGCACUCCCCUGCUAGAACCUUCAAACAAGCUCUCAAAUGUUGGAAGCUAGACAGAAAUUUUAAAAAUGAUUUCCCUAUAAAAUGUUAAAAAUUAUUUAAAAUU
ensembl:misc_RNA 7SK 7SK RNA